rnacentral:rRNA from 1 species
AUGCACGCUGGCGGCGUGCCUAAUACCUGCCAGUCGAGCGAACAGACGAGGAGCUUGCUCCUCUGACGUUAGCGGCGGACGGGUGAGUAACACGUGGAUAACCUACCUAUAAGACUGGGAUAACUUCGGGAAACCGGAGCUAAUACCGGAUAAUAUAUUGAACCGCAUGGUUCAAUAGUGAAAGACGGUUUUGCUGUCACUUAUAGAUGGAUCCGCGCCGCAUUAGCUAGUUGGUAAGGUAACGGCUUACCAAGGCGACGAUGCGUAGCCGACCUGAGAGGGUGAUCGGCCACACUGGAACUGAGACACGGUCCAGACUCCUACGGGAGGCAGCAGUAGGGAAUCUUCCGCAAUGGGCGAAAGCCUGACGGAGCAACGCCGCGUGAGUGAUGAAGGUCUUCGGAUCGUAAAACUCUGUUAUUAGGGAAGAACAAAUGUGUAAGUAACUAUGCACGUCUGGACGGUACCUAAUCAGAAAGCCACGGCUAACUACGU